rnacentral:rRNA from 1 species
AUGUCAUACAGGAGCAACAACCUUGAGAUCUCACCGUUUGCUUCUAGUAAUCAUAUGCAGGGAUUUAGGUAUGAAGAGGAGAGCAACAACUAUGCACCACAACAAUUCUAUUCACCUCCUACUCAUAUACCUCAACACCUGGAGAUGUUGCCAAUGGAGUUAAAUGGUCCUCCAUUUGGUCAACCAACACCUUCGACACAAGUGCCCACACAAGAUGAUUUUGAUGAUAUAGACAAGCUCACAUUGCUUAGUCUCGAGUUCACUUGGAGUGCUAAAGAUGAUCCAAUUAGGCCGGUGAUACUAGACGAAAUGAAGAAGAUCAAAAGUGGAAAAGAGCUAGUGGAAGAAGUAAGGAAAAUUGAGAAGAAUAUCAAUGCUGGCAGCACUAUUUCUUCACAGCUAGAGCUAAGUAUUCCUGGGAUAUCCCUUGAUACAUGUGAGGUUCCAACACCUUCACAUUCAGCUGAGCAAGAUAGCGAGAGUCCAGAGGAAGAGAUACUUCAUAUCCGAGAAGAAAUACUCGAAGCCAAGGAACAAGAUGAUCAAGAGCUGCAAUUCCAAAGUGAUCAAGUUGAAGAUUCAUCAUCUACUACUCCUGAAGAAGUACAAGAAGCUAUUGUAGAUGAAGAUGAAGAACUUGAGAUUCAUUGGCCUAUUGUCAUACAUGAGCGUGAGGUGUUUUUUCUACUGCACCAUUUACUACAUGCUGACCAGGUUCCAGGUGACAUCCCUUGGGACCCCGGUGGAUUCAAGGCAUGGUGA